CAGUUUGAGGUCGCUGUAUCAAACCAUCUCCCUGUGUGGAAGCCCUUCUGAUCUCCGGUUUUGCUUUUCAGCUUGUUUAUCGCAGUGUUGGUCGAUAACUUCCAGCUCACCAUCAAGAAACGAGUGGCAAGGAAGAAACUUAAGUCUACUGCCAAAUUCGACUUUGAGGAUGACAUGGGUUCUCCUAAGAGAAGGGACAGCCAGAUGGAAACCGAACAGGACGACGAAACGUUUCUGAAGAACAUCAUUAAAGAAAACUACAGUCAGAG